UUGGUGCUUGCAUCAUGAUUUACAUUUGAGUGAGUGGCGAACUGGUGAGUAACACGUGGGAAACCUGCCCAGAAGCGGGGGAUAACACCUGGAAACAGAUGCUAAUACCGCAUAACAACUUGGACCGCAUGGUCCGAGUUUGAAAGAUGGCUUCGGCUAUCACUUUUGGAUGGUCCCGCGGCGUAUUAGCUAGAUGGUGGGGUAACGGCUCACCAUGGCAAUGAUACGUAGCCGACCUGAGAGGGUAAUCGGCCACAUUGGGACUGAGACACGGCCCAAACUCCUACGGGAGGCAGCAGUAGGGAAUCUUCCACAAUGGACGAAAGUCUGAUGGAGCAACGCCGCGUGAGUGAAGAAGGGUUUCGGCUCGUAAAACUCUGUUGUUAAAGAAGAACAUAUCUGAGAGUAACUGUUCAGGUAUUGACGGUAUUUAACCAGAAAGCCACGGCUAACUACGUGCCAGCAGCCGCGGUAAUACGUAGGUGGCAAGCGUUGUCCGGAUUUAUUGGGCGUAAAGCGAGCGCAGGCGGUUUUUUAAGUCUGAUGUGAAAGCCUUCGGCUCAACCGAAGAAGUGCAUCGGAAACUGGGAAACUUGAGUGCAGAAGAGGACAGUGGAACUCCAUGUGUAGCGGUGAAAUGCGUAGAUAUAUGGAAGAACACCAGUGGCGAAGGCGGCUGUCUGGUCUGUAACUGACGCUGAGGCUCGAAAGUAUGGGUAGCAAACAGGAUUAGAUACCCUGGUAGUCCAUACCGUAAACGAUGAAUGCUAAGUGUUGGAGGGUUUCCGCCCUUCAGUGCUGCAGCUAACGCAUUAAGCAUUCCGCCUGGGGAGUACGGCCGCAAGGCUGAAACUCAAAGGAAUUGACGGGGGCCCGCACAAGCGGUGGAGCAUGUGGUUUAAUUCGAAGCUACGCGAAGAACCUUACCAGGUCUUGACAUACUAUGCAAAUCUAAGAGAUUAGACGUUCCCUUCGGGGACAUGGAUACAGGUGGUGCAUGGUUGUCGUCAGCUCGUGUCGUGAGAUGUUGGGUUAAGUCCCGCAACGAGCGCAACCCUUAUUAUCAGUUGCCAGCAUUAAGUUGGGCACUCUGGUGAGACUGCCGGUGACAAACCGGAGGAAGGUGGGGAUGACGUCAAAUCAUCAUGCCCCUUAUGACCUGGGCUACACACGUGCUACAAUGGAUGGUACAACGAGUUGCGAACUCGCGAGAGUAAGCUAAUCUCUUAAAGCCAUUCUCAGUUCGGAUUGUAGGCUGCAACUCGCCUACAUGAAGUCGGAAUCGCUAGUAAUCGCGGAUCAGCAUGCCGCGGUGAAUACGUUCCCGGGCCUUGUACACACCGCCCGUCACACCAUGAGAGUUUGUAACACCCAAAGUCGGUGGGGUAACCU
rnacentral:rRNA from 3 species